AAAAACAUGAUUAGUUGAAAGAUCCGCCUUACCCUUCCAUUCACAAUUUUCAUAAAGACACUCCAUUAGCCCUAUAGAACACAUUCAUUACAUUCAAAGUAAUUAUAGAAACAAAAAGGAAAAAUAACUAAUUGAAAUGACCAAUUUAGUUUCAAUUCAAUAGUGUGUGUCCCAUUGGUUGUCUCAGUAAGAUACAAGCACAAGCACGCACCUACCACACCCUUAACCACUAAAUCUUUCUCCCAAACCAUGCAGCAUGAGGGGCUCCAACCAACAUAUUCAUGGGCACCAUCCCUAUGCCACAUCAACCACUUCCCUUAAUUCAUCAUUAAAAGCAGGAAACAUAAAGAUGCCCCCUAUCCCCACUUUUUUUCAUUCAAUAAGGCACCCUUCAUCUCAUUUGUAUCCUUAGUCGGCAUAUUCGUUCUUUUUUUCCUAUCUCCUAUGAUGACUUUUGGUCGAUGAUUCAUAUGAAUCAAAUUAUUUUUGUUUUUUUUAUCAAAGUUGCUUAUAAUAUUAUAGUACCUAGAUUUUUUUUUUUUGUCUUAGAUGAAAUUGUAAUCCAUUGAAAUUAAACUUACACACAAUUGUGAAGUCUCGGGUUCGAACUCGGGUCACGACAUCCGAUCUUAAAAUUUUAGCAUUUGCUAGUUGAGUUAAAACUUCUAAACUCUAAAUAUAAAAAUUUAUUAAUUAC
rnacentral:lncRNA from 1 species